CUGGAAGCAUCUGUUUAUUUGGGAGGAUGCUGUAAAAGUUUGUGAAAGAAGUCAGAGUCAGUGCAGCUCACUUCUGACCAAUGACAAUAAUAUUGAGGAGACAGAGAGAAGAGAAAAGAUGCUGGCCACCCUUGGGAGCGUCUGACUGAGAAAAUAGGUCAAUGUGGAAAGCUGUCUACCUGUUCUCCCCCCCUUCUCUCUUACAAAAAAACACAAGCAGUGUCACGGGGGGCUGGAGGCAAUCCCAGCCGACACUGAAUGAGUGGACAGACGGCC